CUUCUGGUAACUUCAAAGGCAAGCUGCAGGAGGGUGCAAACCAGUGAAGUGGGUGGUUGACUGGUAGUGUAGAGGUCUGGAUUCUGUUCUCCAUUUUUCAGUUUGACCUUCUGCCUGACCCUGGGACCUCUCUUUGUCCAUCUUGUCUAUUCACAUUGAUGGCUUUCACUCACUGCCUGUUGCUGGAUUCAUUUGCCCCUGGAUUAUAAUUUAACCCUUAUCUGGAGCAUGAACCAGGAACGCAACUGAUGACCAACGUUAAAGAAAUACACAUUACUUCCUGAGAGACUGGCUGAUAAUAACUGACCUGAAGAAGGCCACAAAUUCAAUGCCACA
ensembl:lncRNA